rnacentral:rRNA from 1 species
GGUUAAGCGACUAAGCGUACACGGUGGAUGCCCUGGCAGUCAGAGGCGAUGAAGGGCGUGCUAAUCUGCGAUAAGCGCCGGUAAGGUGAUAUGAACCGUUAUAACCGGCGAUACCCGAAUGGGGAAACCCAGUGUGAUUCGUCACACUAUCAUUAACUGAAUCCAUAGGUUAAUGAGGCGAACCGGGGGAACUGAAACAUCUAAGUACCCCGAGGAAAAGAAAUCAACCGAGAUUCCCCCAGUAGCGGCGAGCGAACGGGGAGGAGCCCAGAGCCUGAAUCAGCAUGUGUGUUAGUGGAAGCGUCUGGAAAGGCGCGCGAUACAGGGUGACAGCCCCGUACACAAAAGCGCAUGUGCUGUGAGCUCGAUGAGUAGGGCGGGACACGUGGUAUCCUGUCUGAAUAUGGGGGGACCAUCCUCCAAGGCUAAAUACUCCUGACUGACCGAUAGUGAACCAGUACCGUGAGGGAAAGGCGAAAAGAACCCCGGCGAGGGGAGUGAAAAAGAACCUGAAACCGUGUACGUACAAGCAGUGGGAGCCCCACCACCAAAGCAUUCUCUGGUGUUGAAGGCCCUGCAAAGCAGCAUCGCGGUGGCGGAGCGUCGUUUGCGACGCCCAACACACAAAACAAGCGGUGAGUGCUUUGGGGUGGGGUGACUGCGUACCUUUUGUAUAAUGGGUCAGCGACUUAUAUUCUGUAGCAAGGUUAACCGAAUAGGGGAGCCGGAGGGAAACCGAGUCUUAAUUGGGCGUUAAGUUGCAGGGUAUAGACCCGAAACCCGGUGAUCUAGCCAUGGGCAGGUUGAAGGUUGGGUAACACUAACUGGAGGACCGAACCGACUAAUGUUGAAAAAUUAGCGGAUGACCUGUGGCU